rnacentral:misc_RNA from 1 species
CUGAAUUUAAUUCCGGGGUUGUAGCUGGCCAUUGUUUUGGCAUGUGCACACCUUGGUAUAAUCCAAAUUCAUUCACACCUCUGUGCACCAUUUCGUGGGAUUGAAGGGUAAUGAAGGAAUUGCUUUCUUUGCCUGAAUUUCCCAUGUCUUCUUAUAUACUCUGCAGUUUUAGAAUGUUAAUUGCGUUGAACGCAUUUAUAUA